GACGAACGCUGGCGGCGUGCUUAACACAUGCAAGUCGAACGGUGAAGCGCCUUCCUUUUUGGUGGGUGUGGAUGAGUGGCGAACGGGUGAGUAACACGUGAGUAACCUGCCCCCUUCUUCUGGAUAACCGCAUGAAAGUGUGGCUAAUACGGGAUAUUCUGGGUCUGCCGCAUGAUGGGUCUGGGAAAGAUAUUGUUUCGGUGGGGGAUGGGCUCGCGGCCUAUCAGCUUGUUGGUGGGGUGAUGGCCUACCAAGGCGGUGACGGGUAGCCGGCCUGAGAGGGUGGACGGUCACACUGGGACUGAGACACGGCCCAGACUCCUACGGGAGGCAGCAGUGGGGAAUAUUGCACAAUGGGCGCAAGCCUGAUGCAGCGACGCCGCGUGAGGGAUGGAGGCCUUCGGGUUGUGAACCUCUUUCGCCAGUGAAGCAGGCCUGCCUCGUUUGUGGGUGGGUUGACGGUAGCUGGAUAAGAAGCGCCGGCUAACUACGUG
rnacentral:rRNA from 1 species